UACGUAGGGGGCAAGCGUUGUCCGGAAUCAUUGGGCGUAAAGAGCGUGUAGGCGGUUCGGUAAGUCGGCUGUGAAAGUCCAGGGCUCAACCCUGGGAUGCCGGUCGAUACUGCCGGACUAGAGUUCGGAAGAGGCGAGUGGAAUUCCCGGUGUAGCGGUGAAAUGCGUAGAUAUCUGGAGGAACACCGGUGGCGAAGGCGGCAUCCUGGACCAACACUGACACUGAGGAGCGAAAGCCAGGGGAGCAAACGGG
rnacentral:rRNA from 1 species